rnacentral:rRNA from 1 species
UGGGGAAUAUUGCACAAUGGGCGGAAGCCUGAUGCAGCGACGCCGCGUGGGGGAUGAAGGCCUUCGGGUUGUAAACUCCUUUCGACAGGGACGAAGCUUUUGUGACGGUACCUGUAUAAGAAGCACCGGCUAACUACGUGCCAGCAGCCGCGGUAAUACGUAGGGUGCGAGCGUUGUCCGGAAUUACUGGGCGUAAAGAGCUCGUAGGUGGUUUGUCGCGUCGGCUGUGAAAUUCCGGGGCUUAACUCCGGGCGUGCAGGCGAUACGGGCUGACUUGAGUGCUGUAGGGGGGACUGGAAUUCCUGGUGUAGCGGUGAAAUGCGCAGAUAUCAGGAGGAACACCGAUGGCGAAGGCAGGUCUCUGGGCAGUAACUGACGCUGAGGAGCGAAAGCAUGGGUAGCGAACAGG